rnacentral:rRNA from 1 species
GAUGAACGCUGGCGGCGUGCCUAACACAUGCAAGUCGAGCGAUUCUCUUCGGAGAAGAGCGGCGGACGGUGAGUAACGACGUGGGUAACCGUACGCCUCGUACACACGGAGUAACAAUACCGAAACGGUAAGUGCUAAUACGAGAUAAUAUGCUUUAUUCGCAUGGUAGAAGUAUCAAGACUUUGUCGGUACAGGAUGGACCCGCCGUCUGAUUAGCUAGUUGGUAAGGUAACGGC